GGUAACAGGUCUUCGGACGCUGACGAGUGGCGAACGGGUGAGUAAUACAUCGGAACGUGCCCAGUCGUGGGGGAUAACUACUCGAAAGAGUAGCUAAUACCGCAUACGAUCUGAGGAUGAAAGCGGGGGACCUUCGGGCCUCGCGCGAUUGGAGCGGCCGAUGGCAGAUUAGGUAGUUGGUGGGAUAAAAGCUUACCAAGCCGACGAUCUGUAGCUGGUCUGAGAGGACGACCAGCCACACUGGGACUGAGACACGGCCCAGACUCCUACGGGAGGCAGCAGUGGGGAAUUUUGGACAAUGGGCGAAAGCCUGAUCCAGCAAUGCCGCGUGCAGGAUGAAGGCCUUCGGGUUGUAAACUGCUUUUGUACGGAACGAAAAAGCUUCUCCUAAUACGAGAGGCCCAUGACGGUACCGUAAGAAUAAGCACCGGCUAACUACGUGCCAGCAGCCGCGGUAAUACGUAGGGUGCAAGCGUUAAUCGGAAUUACUGGGCGUAAAGCGUGCGCAGGCGGUUAUGUAAGACAGAUGUGAAAUCCCCGGGCUCAACCUGGGAACUGCAUUUGUGACUGCAUGGCUAGAGUACGGUAGAGGGGGAUGGAAUUCCGCGUGU
rnacentral:rRNA from 1 species